GACGAACGCUGGCGGCGUGCUUAACACAUGCAAGUCGAACGAAGUGGGAACGGGUGAGUAAUACGUGGGUAACCUCCCUCCUUUUUGGGAUAAGCCUUGGAAACGGGGUCUAAACCGAAUAGAUGUUCUCGCGGCCUAUCAGCUUGUUGGUGGGGUGAUGGCCUACCAAGGCGGUGACGGGUAGCCGGCCUGAGAGGGUGACCGGCCACAUGGGGACUGAGAUCCGGCCGAGACUCCUACGGGAGGCAGCAGUGGGGGAGAUUGCAGAAUGGGCGAAAGCUUGACAGAGCAACGCCGCGUGAUUGAUGAAGGUGUUCGGAUCGUAAAACUCUGUUAUUAGGGAAGCGGUACCUAAUCAGAAAGCCACGGCUAACUACGUGCCAGCAGCCGCGGUAAUAC
rnacentral:rRNA from 1 species